rnacentral:rRNA from 1 species
GUAGUCUCGCACAGAUGCAUAUCAAUAAGCGGAGGAAAAGAAACUAACAAGGAUUCCCUCAGUAACGGCGAGUGAAGCGGGAAGAGCUCAAAUUUGAAAUCUUGAAAGGUCACCUUUCACGAAUUGUAGUUUAAAGAAGUGUUUUCUGUUACGAUCGUAAUAUAAGUUCUUUGGAAUAGGGCAUCACAGAGGGUGAGAAUCCCGUCUAUGAUUGCGAUUUGUAGCUUUGUGUUACACUUUCAAAGAGUCGGGUUGUUUGGGAAUGCAGCCCAAAACGGGAGGUAAAUUUCUUCUAAGGCUAAAUAUUGGCGAGAGACCGAUAGCGAACAAGUACCGUGAGGGAAAGAUGAAAAGAACUUUGAAAAGAGAGUUAAAUAGUACGUGAAAUUGUCAAAAGGGAAGCGUUUAACACCAGUGUUGUUUUCUGAAAAUCAACCUCUGUUAGCUUUAUGCAUGUUUGUUUAGACCUAAUCAGCUAUCUUGCAUGUUCUAUUGUUUGCAGUGGUGCACUUUUCAGUUUACAGGUCAACAUCAGUUUUUUUUACCGUAAAAAAGUUAAAGAAAGGUAGCUCAUGGCUCCGGUCGUGAGUGUUAUAGUCUUUUUCCUAUGCGGUAGGAGAGACUGAGGUCUGCAGUGUAGGCUAUUUGGCUAGAUACUCAGGUGCUAUGUGAUACCAUUUCAUAAACAACUUGUUGAUUAUGUUUUGUCUAUUGCAUACUCGCUUGUACUAUCAUACCUACGCUUAGGAUGUUGAGUCGUAGAGCACGCAG